rnacentral:rRNA from 1 species
GUGUCAGCAGCCGCGCGGUAAUACGGAGGGUGCAAGCGUUAAUCGGAAUUACUGGGCGUAAAGCGCACGCAGGCGGUUUGUUAAGUCAGAUGUGAAAUCCCCGGGCUCAACCUGGGAACUGCAUCUGAUACUGGCAAGCUUGAGUCUCGUAGAGGGGGGUAGAAUUCCAGGUGUAGCGGUGAAAUGCGUAGAGAUCUGGAGGAAUACCGAUGGCGAAGGCAGCCAUCUGGCCUAAUACUGACGCUGAGGUACGAAAGCAUGGGGAGCAAACAGGAUUAGAUACCCUGGUAGUCCAUGCCGUAAACGAUGUCUACUAGCCGUUGGGGCCUUUGAGGCUUUAGUGGCGCAACUAACGCGAUAAGUAGACCGCCUGGGGAGUACGGUCGCAAGACUAAAACUCAAAUGAAUUGACGGGGGCCCGCACAAGCGGUGGAGCAUGUGGUUUAAUUCGAUGCAACGCGAAGAACCUUACCUGGUCUUGACAUAGUAAGAACUUUCCAGAGAUGGAUUGGUGCCUUCGGGAACUUACAUACAGGUGCUGCAUGGCUGUCGUCAGCUCGUGUUGUGAAAUGUUGGGUUAAGUCCCGCAACGAGCGCAACCCUUAUCCUUUGUUGCCAGCGGUCCGGCCGGGAACUCAAAGGAGACUGCCAGUGAUAAACUGGAGGAAGGUGGGGAUGACGUCAAGUCAUCAUGGCCCUUACGACCAGGGCUGCACACGUGCUACAAUGGCGCAUACAAAGAGAAGCGACCUCGCGAGAGCAAGCGGACCUCAUAAAGUGCGUCGUAGUCCGGAUUGGAGUCUGCAACUCGACUCCAUGAAGUCGGAAUCGCUAGUAAUCGUGGAUCAGAAUGCCACGGUGAAUACGUUCCCGGGCCUUGUACACACCGCCCGUCACACCAUGGGAGUGGGUUGCAAAAGAGUAGGCAGCUUAACCUUCGGGAGGGCGCUUACCACUUUGUGAUUCAUGACUGGGGUGAGUCGUACAGUAC